UGUCCCCCACUAUAGUAGUGGGGGACAUAUUGUUUUUGCCCUGUUUGUCUGUUGGUCUGUUGGUCUGUUGGUCCGUUGGUCUGUCUGUCUGUUUGCGCCAACUUUAACAUUUUGCAAUAACUUUUGCUAUAUUGAAGAUAGCAACUUCAUAUUUGGCAUGCAUAUGUAUCUCAUGAAGCUGCACAUUUUGAGUGGUGAAAGGUCAAGGUCAAGGUCAUCCUUCAAGGUCAGAGGUCAAAUAUAUGUGGCCAAAAUCGCUCAUUUUAUGAAUACUUUUGCAAUAUUGAAGAUAGCAACUUGAUAUUUGGCAUGCAUGUGUAUCUCAUGGAGCUGCACAUUUUGAGUGGUGAAAGGUCAAGGUCAAGGUCAUCCUUCAAGGUCAGAGGUCAAAUAUAUGUGGCCCAAAUCGCUUAUUUUAUGAAUUCUUUUGCAAUAUUGAAGAUAGCAACUUGAUAUUUGGCAUGCAUGUGUAUCUCAUGGAGCUGCACAUUUUGAGUGGUGAAAGGUCAAGGUCAUCCUUCAAGGUCAAAUAUAUGGGUCAAAAUUGCUCAUGUAAUGUCACUUCUGCAAUAUUAAAGCUAGCAAUUUUAUAUUUUAAAUGCAUGUGUAUCUCAUGAAGCUGCACAUUUUGAGUGGUGAAGGGUCAAGGUCAAGGUCAUCCUUCAAGGUCAAACGUC